rnacentral:rRNA from 1 species
AUUGAACGCUGGCGGCAUGCCUUACACAUGCAAGUCGAACGGUAACAGGUUAAGCUGACGAGUGGCGAACGGGUGAGUAAUGUAUCGGAACGUGCCCAGUCGUGGGGGAUAACUGCUCGAAAGAGCAGCUAAUACCGCAUACGACCUGAGGGUGAAAGCGGGGGAUCGCAAGACCUCGCGCGAUUGGAGCGGCCGAUAUCAGAUUAGGUAGUUGGUGAGGUAAAGGCUCACCAAGCCGACGAUCUGUAGCUGGUCUGAGAGGACGACCAGCCACACUGGGACUGAGCCACGGCCCAGACUCCUACGGGAGGCAGCAGUGGGGAAUUUUGGACAAUGGGCGCAAGCCUGAUCCAGCCAUGCCGCGUGCGGGAAGAAGGCCUUCGGGUUGUAAACCGCUUUUGUCAGGGAAGAAAAGGUUCUGGCUAAUACCUGGGACUCAUGACGGUACCUGAAGAAUAAGCACCGGCUAACUACGUG